rnacentral:misc_RNA from 1 species
GUUGUGCAUCAAAAGUUGGAAGGUGGGAAUUUGGCAUUGGAGAGGAGCAUGUACUAUGGAGUUGAGGUGAGGGUAAUUCGUGGCUUUAAAUAUGUUGGUAGUUCUAGUGGUAAAGUGUAUGUGUAUGAUGGGUUGUAUAGAAUCACGGAAUCUUGGUUUGAUGUGGGUAAGUCUGGAUUUGGAGUGUACAAAUAUAAGCUUGUUAGGAUUGAAAAUCAACCAGACAUGGGAAGUGCUAUACUUAGAUUUGCAGAGAGUCUUAGGACCAGGCCACUAGAGGUAAGGCCCAUGGGAUACAUUUCUCUUGAUAUAUCUAGGAAAAAGGAAAAUGUGCCUGUAUUUUUAUUCAAUGAUAUUGAUAAUGAACGUGAUCCAGCUUGUUAUGACUAUCUGUUGAAGACUGUAUUUCCUCCAUAUGUCUAUCAGCAUGUGGGAAAUGGUUCAGGUU